GCGGCGGACGGGUUAGUAACGCGUGGGAAUAUACCCUUCUCUAUGGAAUAGUCUCGGGAAACUGGGGGUAAUACCAUAUACGCCCUUCGGGGGAAAGAUUUAUCGGAGAAGGAUUAGCCCGCGUAAGAUUAGAUAGUUGGUGGGGUAAUGGCCUACCAAGUCUACGAUCUUUAGCUGGUUUGAGAGGAUGAUCAGCAACACUGGGACUGAGACACGGCCCAGACUCCUACGGGAGGCAGCAGUGGGGAAUCUUGGACAAUGGGCGCAAGCCUGAUCUAGCCAUGCCGCGUGAGUGACGAAGGUCUUAGGAUCGUAAAGCUCUUUCGCCAGAGAUGAUAAUGACAGUAUCUGGUAAAGAAACCCCGGCUAACUCCGUGCCAGCAGCCGCGGUAAUACGGAGGGGGUUAGCGUUGUUCGGAAUUACUGGGCGUAAAGCGUACGUAGGCGGAUUAGCAAGUAGGGGGUGAAAUCCCAGGGCUCAACCCUGGAACUGCCUCCUAAACUGUUAGUCUAGAGUUCGAGAGAGGUGAGUGGAAUUCCAAGUGUAGAGGUGAAAUUCGUAGAUAUUUGGAGGAACACCAGUGGCGAAGGCGGCUCACUGGCUCGAUACUGACGCUGAGGUACGAAAGUGUGGGGAGCAAACAGGAUUA
rnacentral:rRNA from 1 species